rnacentral:rRNA from 1 species
UGAAGUGGAGCAAAUCUCAAAAAAUUAGUCUCAGUUCGGAUUGCAGGCUGCAACUCGCCUGCAUGAAGUCGGAAUUGCUAGUAAUCGCGGAUCAGCAUGCCGCGGUGAAUACGUUCUCGGGCCUUGUACACACCGCCCGUCACACCAUGGGAGUCGGUAACAACCCGAAGCCUGUGAGCUAACUUUUAGAGGCAGCAGUCGAAGGUAGAAUCAAUGAUUUGGGGUGAAGUCGUAACAAGGUAGC